AUCAACUUUCGAUGGUAGGAUAGAGGCCUACCAUGGUGGUAACGGGUAACGGGGUGUUAGGGCACGACACCGGAGAGGGAGCCUGAGAAACGGCUACCACAUCCAAGGAUGGCAGCAGGCGCGCAAAUUACCCAAUCCCGACACGGGGAGGUAGUGACAAUAAAUAACAAUACGGGGUUCUUUCGGAUUUCGUAAUUGGAAUGAGUACAAUUUAAAUCUCUUAACGAGGAACAAUUGGAGGGCAAGUCUGGUGCCAGCAGCCGCGGUAAUUCCAGCUCCAAUAGCGUAUAUUAAAGUUGCUGCAGUUAAAAAGCUCGUAGUUGAAUUUCGGGACCAUCAUGUCGGUCGUGCCUAGGUACGUACUAGCAUUGUUGGUUUCUCCCUUCUGACGAACCAUGAUGUCAUUUAUUUGGUGUUGUGGGGAAUCAGGACUGUUACUUUGAAAAAAUUAGAGUGUUUAAAGCAGGCUCACGCUUGAAUACAUUAGCAUGGAAUAAUGAAAUAGGACGUUUGAUUCUAUUUUGUUGGUUUCUAGGAUCGACGUAAUGAUUAAUAGGGAUAGUUGGGGGCAUUAGUAUUCAAUUGUCAGAGGUGAAAUUCUUGGAUUUAUUGAAGACUAACUACUGCGAAAGCAUUUGCCAAGGAUGUUUUCAUUAAUCAAGAACGAAAGUUAGGGGAUCGAAGACGAUCAGAUACCGUCGUAGUCUUAACCAUAAACUAUGCCGACUAGGGAUCGGAUGAUGUUAAUUUUUUAAUGACUCAUUCGGCGCCUUACGGGAAACCAAAGUGUUUGGGUUC
rnacentral:rRNA from 1 species